UACAGAGGUCUCAAGCGUUGUUCGGAUUCAUUGGGCGUAAAGGGUGCGUAGGCGGCGCGGUAAGUCGGAUGUGAAAUCUCCACGCUCAACGUGGAGGGGCCAUUCGAUACUGUCGUGACUCGAGUCCGGUAGGGGAGUGUGGAAUUCCCGGUGUAGCGGUGAAAUGCGCAGAGAUCGGGAGGAACACCCGUAGCGAAGGCGGCACUCUGGGCCGGUCCUGACGCUGAGGAGCGAAAGCGUGGGGAGCAAACAGG
rnacentral:rRNA from 1 species